rnacentral:lncRNA from 1 species
GGCUAAUUAGUUGUGUUACUAUGUGAUGUUACUUGCACUCAAAAGUCAUGGCUUUAACCUGUCUUAUUCUCAAUAGGAUGCUACAGUCGUUAUGUUUCAUACAUUUUCAUUGAAAUGGGCUUGAACUCUGUCACAUGGUUAUGUUCUGUUAUGUUUAUCUGAUCUUUAAUGUUGUCAUUGAUAUUAGCCUUAGCUCUUGAAUGGUAGAUGUGAGGUGUGUAUGAAUGAUUCAUGUGUAGAAUUCUUUCAUAGGCUGCAUUUAAAUGUUGAUUUGAAGAGAAAAUUAACUAUCUAAUAAAUGAAGAGAAUAAGUAGAAUGUAGCGAGGGUGUUGUUAUGAAUGAGGAAAAUAGAGAAAAUAAUUGACAGACCGUAACACAACAAUGUUAUGCAGAGACUUUUAAAGAUAAAUUUCCCUUGCAAAAUUAGUACAUAACACCGUCCCUCAAUACGAUACAUCAUUUUUAUGCAGAUUUUUACAUACAUCAGUAAUCCCUACCUAGGGUUUAGUGAAAAUACAACCUAAUUGGUCUGCUCUUAGUAGGUUUUAACAGAAUUGACUCUUUAUGAAGUUUGGAACAAAACGUCUACCCGCAUUUAUGCACAUAGCUAUUGUGUGGAAUGCAGGAUCUGUUAGCUAUGUGUGUGUCAACCAAGCUCCUUCAAUAAACUUGAGCUAUUGUUCUAUCCUCAGAUUCAACAUUAGAGCCAACAGCACUACCCUUUGUACUUUUCCAAUAUAAAAGACUAAUAACCUUAGAGUAAUGUUUUUCUGGUUCCUACAAAAUCACUAUUGUACUCCCCUGGGCAAAUAUCCAUUUUAGGCGGAUAGUACCGGCAUGCAAAUAAGAUCCCACAUAUGAUUCAAUUCAAGAAGUACCACUGUAGGAGUGUUUAGGGGAUCAACAGAGAUUGGAACAUAAGAAGCAGGAAGAAAAUAUGAUUCUAAAGAGUUAACUCUUGCAAUAUUACUAAACUCUACCACACAUAUAUGAGUUAGAUCAUAUGUAAAAUCUCUUUUGCAUGAACUUUGACAAGAUCGAUAAACUUUCAAUUAGUCAAUUCUAUAGUUUUACCCUAUAUUUAUACAUGGUUUUGGCUACUGAUAUAUGUUUUCAAAUAAUAUUUUGAAGUACAUAAACUUGCAUGAGAUCAAGAUUCAGGUAUAGGAUUUGGGUUUAUCAACUCCUCGCUAUAUCGAGUUUGACAUGAAAACAGCCUUUAGCAUUGUUGAUGAUCUAAACUCUUAAGUAUUGCCGUGGAUAGGCAAUUCUACCUAGUGGGAACAAACUUUCAAGUUUGCUGAAAUUAUUAAUAUAUACUGUCAAGCUAGUUUUUUUUUCAUAUAUACAUUUGGGCUAAAAGAAAAAACCUGGAGCAAUUUUUCUAAAUUGCUUUGUUCAUGUCCUUAUGCUACUAAACUUUAUGGUUAAAGAUAUAAUAUAGUGAAUAUCUAAUAUCUAAUAUAAAUUCAACCAAAAGAAAGAUAGGAAUGCAAAAGCUUAAUUUUAUCAAAUUUUUAGUGUUUACUUUGAUUUAAUUGAUCUAAAACUUUGACAUGCAUUGGUUGUUUAUUGACAAACUUUUCCUCUCAGUUGUACGAUAUAGUGCGCAAAGAAAUAUGGUACCGGCCGGACAUGUUCUUUUAUAGGGACAUGCUUGUGAUGCUUGCAAGAAACAAAAGGGUGGAUGAAACAAAGAGGGUGUGGGAUGAUUUGAAAGGAGAGGGAGUUUUAUUUGAUCAGCAUACAUUUGGAGACAUUGUAAGAGCCUAUCUUGAUAGUGGUAUGCCCUCAGAGGCCAUGGACAUAUAUGAAGAAAUGAGACAAUCUCCCGAGCCUCCUCUGUCAUUACCUUUCCGUGUAAUAUUAAAAGGACUAAUUCCAUAUCCCGAAUUAAGAGAGAAAAUAAAAGAUGACUUUUUGGAGGUUUUCCCAGAUAUGAUCAUCUACGACCCUCCUGAGGAUUUGUUCGACGAUCAUGAGAAGCAUGAUGAUGUAUCUAAUAGUGACAUUUAUUGAGUCAGUGUUGGAUCUUUAUACACCUCCUCACAUCAAGGACCAGACAUUCGAAGCGGGAACAGAUUGAAUUUGAGCUAACUUUGGUUCCUUCGACACUAUUAUCUGCACUUUGCUGUAAAAUAGAGAUAUUGAAGUUUGAAGCAUAUUUUUAUAUACUGAAGCAGCUUGAUGACAUGCAAUGCUGAGACCCGGUAGCUGCUAUUUUGAGUAAUCUCAUUUUUUUCGCUUUUCUCCAUUAAUCUCAGUGAUGAGAUUUUCCAAUUCUCUCUCAUCAUUGUACUUUAUACAUCUGAACAUUGACAGUUUGAAUGAGUAUUGGGAAGAGAAGUUGUUCAAUGUGGAAAUACACAUGCACACAUUUUUUUCUUUCUUUUGAUAACAAUAUUCAGUGUAUUUAAUUUGGUUCCACACUUGAAGUAUUUCUAUCAAAAUACCAAACCUACGAAUCUUUUACUAGUCUAGAAUAUGCUUCAAAAGUUAGAGGAAAUCUCAUUACUUUUCAAGAGUGUGUUUUUAUGCUCCAUGUUCAAUCUACUCAAAAUCUUUUAAACCAAGCAAACGUAUGACUAUUUUAAUAGAUGGCCUAAUAUGAAAAAAAAAUUAAGCUAAAAAUAUUGUUGAAUUUUCUUAGAAGAAGUUGGCGUAAUUUGUUAAGGUCGAAUCGAAAAGGAGUACACGAGUUUAACCGUUGAUUGGAACAAAAUUUUGGUCAAGUUUUAUUUAUAUCCUUUGGAUUAUCAGAGUGAAUUUCUCUUACAAAUUAGAGGAUUAAGACACACAACACACUUUCCAUAGGCAAAGGUUCAUCCUUUUUACAUUUAAGAAGCUAGUAAACAAUUAGAUAUCUAAUUGCAGCUUUGGUCUAUAUUUUCAUUUUAAAUGCAACAAAUUAAAGCAAUUACACUGCCAAUUCAUAGAUCUUUAAGCAACGGCUGUUAAAAAUGUUGCACACUUUCCAUCAUCAGAAAUUUAUAGUUAACCACCUCUAAUUUAUGAUUAAUAAAAGCUAAUGGGUUUUUAACACCUAAUAUAUUCAUUACUAUCUAUCAGAACCACUUUUCUGAAAUUUGUUAAACCCUUGUCAUAAAAGUUGUUCAAUUUUUAUAAUUCAAAUUAUAGAACUGUAUUACAAAGAUAGCUACCAGUCUAUACAAAUAAUUUUGGUGUCAUCUUUGAACUAAAAGUGAAUACUUAUUAUUUUUUUCUUGUAAUUUUUAUUACAAAAUUAUUAAUAAUCCUCAUAAUCAAAGUUCUUUAAAGAAUUACUUUCAAUAUAAAUCUAAACAAUUGAAUCUAAUGUUACAUAGUUGAUCAGAAAAAUGAUUUUAACAACUUUAGUAAGACUUCUCCUAAUAAAUGCAAGAGUUGUAGCGGUAUUAACAUUAUUCAAUAAGAUAUGCAUGCAUGCAUCUGAAAAGAAAAAAAUAGUUAUUUGUCUUAAAAUAACUCAAGAUCGUAAAACUUUAUUCAUCAUCAUCCUUAUCAUGUUUUAGAAAACUUUCAGUGUUUGCAAUAUUAAUCAAUUCAUAAACUUCAUCAUAUGUGCUAUAAGUCAAAUUUUCUAUUAACAGGUAAAAAAAAGGUGCCAUCCAAAAAAGAUGGCCUUGUUUGAUCGAAUCUCGAGAACAUGCUCAGACUGCCACUGCUACCAAUGAUUACAAGGAAGAAGAAUCACAGUCAAAAUAGGAUACAAAGAUAACAAUGGUCUUUCAACUUAUAAACAUCAGCCUAAAGGCUAAAUCAUGUCUACAUAACCAAGAAGAGCCUGUCAAACUAUUUACAUUACAAAAUUAUCACAAUGAACAGUGUGUUAAGUGUUAACUCUUGAAGAUCACAUCAAGACUUGAUCAAUCACCUAGCAGGCAAAGUGGCUGUCUCAUGCCAACUCCAGUUUAAGUGCAGGAAAUUGCUCUAGAUCAUGGGAAGCACUUAAGAUUUUCUGCACACAAUCAGUUUUGGAAAAUUGGAAAUUAAAUUAUAGUUAUAAUUUAAAAGAAAUAGUAUUAUAACUAAGAUCUAUUGAAGUAUAGCAUAAACUAGUUCAAUGAGAUGGUAAAAUAUCUUAGUGAGCAUUGAGACUUGAAUUAAGCCCACAUUUGAUGUAGAAGCAACAACACAUACCUGCAUCAUCAAAAGUAAUAUACUACUUCCUGAACAAUAUAAAUUAACAGCAGCAUAAAAUGUUGGCACAACUACAAAUAACAGUGAAUUUAUGUACACAGUAUGUACUGUUCUUGUUCAAAUUCAAAAGCAUUGAUGAGGUUCAAAAUUCUCUUAACAAUAUAUCUACUUAUAAAGUUGGAAACAACAAAUGAGACCAAAAAGUAAGAACUUAAACAGGAUCUCAAAAUUCAAAUGCAAACAAUAUAUUUAGGGGUUAACUGGGUGAUGAACUCGAAUGCAAGAUCACAAUCCCAAAAAAAAUAGUGGUCAGAGGUUAAAUUCUGCUGCACAUAAGAUUUUAAGGAAUUUUUUUUUGGGGAUUUUUUUGCCUAAUUGUAUCGUUAGUAUGCAUAUAAAAGCAAUAAACAAAACUGGGUUAUUUAAGCUGAUUAUUAACUGGACAACUAUGACAUUGAAAGUAACAAAUCACCAGAAAAACAAUGUGGUCAACUCAUAAAUAUCUCUAACAAUAUUUACCAGUGCAGCAACAUCUGCGUCUUGUAAAAUAUUGCCGUCGACUUCCAAUCUGGUAAUAGGAAACUCGGGAAGAUGUCCAGAUUGUUUCUUGCCAAGCAAGUCACCAGGUCCACGUAAUAAUAGGUCCAUAUUAGCAAGAUGAAACCCAUCUGAUGAUUGCUCCAGUACUUUCAAACGAUUAAGGCCACUGGCAGUUGAUGAUAUUAAUAUACAUUUUGACUGCCUUGUUCCGUGUCCAACUUGGCCCCUGAGUUGGUGUAAUUGGGCCAUUCCAAACCUCUCAGAAUUCAUCACAACCAUCAUCGAUGCAUCUGGAACAUCAACACCAACUUCAAUUACUUGAGUGGCAAGUAGUAUAUUCAAUUCUCCAGUCCUAAACUUCCCUAACGUUUCUUCUUUUUCUUCACUUCUCAUUCUCCCAUGUAAUAAACCACAAUUGUAUCCUGGAAACCGGUCUGAGAUAACUUCGAGAUCUGCAGAAGCAGCACGAAGCUGAGGUAACUGCUCCGAAAGUUCGAUAAUUGGGUAGACAAGAUAAAUUUUCCCCCCAUCUUCCAAUUCAUCCAUCAUCAUCUGGCAAAAACCCACAUUUUUUACAUCAAUACAUGGGGAAAAAAGAACAACCAAAUCCUUGUUCUAAUCUUAUCAACUUGGAGCACAUCUGCGGUUGGUUGAGAGCCAAAUGAUUGACAGAGUAUGAUUGUAAAAUAAUGGAUGCAUAUCACUAUGUAUCACAAACCUAUUAUAUUAGGGAUUGGGUCAAAAUGGUAAAAAAAAGGAAAGAGAAACAAAUACAAAAAUAUAUAAAUUCCCUGAUUGGGUCCAAAUGCAUGUGAUGUGAUACAAAAUGAUACACCUUUAUAUUAGAGCUAUCAAUAUGAAAUGUGUCUAGCCAACUGAACAGAGCUUUAAUAUAUAAAUAGAUAGUAAAUGAAAUAAUUUACAGUUACUGUAUUCACUAUACUAUACAACAUAUACUAUAUUUAUAGUGAGUUGGAGUUGAACUUUUUUUUUUUUUAGGAAAGUAGGAGUUGAACUUGGUACUCCAAAGUUUAUAACACUCACAGACACUGCACAUCAAUCACACGACCCUGGUGGUACAUAUAACAUAUAUUCUAAUGGAAUUCUGCAUAAAAAAUCUGAUUAUGUGUGCAUGAUAGAAAUGCUUCAUCUUCAUCUCAAGUAUAUAUAUUAAUGGCAUGUAAGGCAUAUUUUUAAGUCUCGUCAUCUAGUUUUCAUUGUUUAAAUUAUCAAAGUACACUCAAUUACCAAAAAACUGGAAAAUUAAGCACCAAUGACAGUGCAGAUAAAAAUAGUAUAGAUUAAAUUUGUCACCUUGUAGGCAUCCUCAAAUCCUUUGUCACUUCCCUCAAUGGCAUAUGUUUGAACAGGAAUCCUUCCUUGUGGUAAGUCGGUUAUCUGUGAUGACAAAAGAGUAAGCAUUUGCAGCAGCAAAUAAUUUAUAAGUACUAAAUUGUGAAAAUUAGUAACAAUAAACCUUGUAAAACGAUAACCACAAAAACUCGUUACAAAAUUUGUUAAAGUCUGUUAUAUUUUGUAUUGAUGACAAAAUCAUAAAUUAUAUGUCAGGAAAGACAAAAACAGAUGAAACAAUCCAACAAAGUAACUGAUGUAGAGUGAGCUAGCUGGUUGUAUUAUUUAUUUAAGGUUUUAAUUAAUUUAAUUAAUGACUUUUUUAUUUGGUAACUAUUUGGUUUAAUUAUUUAAUAUAAGGUUUUAAUUUCAUACUUAAGAUAUCUUUUAGUAUUAUUUGUUGAUAUUGAUAAGAGCCCCACAUUGGAUGAAAUAUGGCCUGAAAAAUGUGCUUAUAAGUUGUGGGCAAUCCUCACCUUAUAAAUCGGUUUUGUAAGGCUUGAGUUAGGUCCAAUCAAAACUCUAAGAUCUAGAGUCUGGUUUGACCCUCCUGGACAUGUCCUGCCACUAUUCCGCUGCUGUUUCCAAAAAUUAGACCAUUCUUAUAGUUGUAUACUAGUAUUUGGAAUCUUUUGUUGAACCCUCCUUCAUUUCAAACAGUUUUCUCUAGAAUUAUCUUGUAGCUAUCUAAUCUCAAAGGCAUUCUACUUUCCACUACUGGCCAUUGUCGUCGCUACGACCAGCCACCGGCUGCAGUUGCUAAAACAAAUUUAUAACAAUUUUUUGCGAAACCAUCACCAUCUAGAUUGGAAUCUACUGAUCUAGAAAACCAUAAAGUUUCAGAUCCAACAUCCAUGGCAUGCCCCCCCAUGAGCCAUUACAUCUAGCAACACGCGCCCCCAUGUAAUUUCUAAGACUAGCAUUAAUAUAAAAACCACCAAAGCAAACCAUCUUAAAAUUUGGACAGAUGACCUAACUUAAUCCCAUAAAACUGGCUUAUAAGGUGAGGACUCUCAACACAAGCCUCUUGUUCAGGAACAUCAGUAGUAUGGACUAAUGUAUGUGGGUGGAAUAACAGUGAUCUAAAAACACUCCAUCGCGCCCAAGACUAAACAUCCAGAGCGUUGAGAAGUGCAAGCUGAAUAAUAAAGAUCUAGGAUAGACUUAGAAUUUGAAUUUAGGGCCUAACUCAACCCCACAAAAUCAGCUUAUAAAGUGAAGACUGUCCAAGCUUUUUAAGCCCUACCUAGGUAGUAUCUCUAGUCGAUGUAGGACUAUCAACAUACAUAUUGAACAAUUUAAACUUAUUCAAGCAAAAUGGACACAGAUAGAGGGAGGAGGAAGUUUUGCAUUAGAAUGAUGAACAGGAAAAAUAAGUACCUGUGUCAGUGACAUAUCACCAUAUAAAGCAAGCGCAAGGGUCCUUGGGAUAGGAGUAGCAGACAUGACAAGAACAUGUGGAGCCAUAUAAUCAUCAGUCUUUGAGGACUUGUCUGUAAUAGCAUCCUCCAGACUCGAAAUUGAAGAUUUAUAAAAUAACUGAGAAAAAUAAGGAGAAGACAGUCAUAAUAUUAUAAAACAAGAUCAGAUAAAAAAAAAAGAAGAAAAAGAGCGAUGAAGGCAUCACUUGCAAAUAAGAAACAUCCUUUUGCAGGACUCAAUAUUCUGUAGCAAUGAAGAUAUAAUUGUAGAAAUUACUCUAUCUUGAGAGUAUAUCAUUUCAAUGAGAAUGGAGCUCCUUUUAUAGGAGAGAAUACAGCUAAUCAACUCCUUAAUUUAAGGAGUGACAUAAUGAAAAAUAAACAACCAUUAAAAUAGAAUAACAAUAAAGGAAACAAUAUAUAUUUCAACAAUAAUGUAUAAGCAUAACAUGAAUGUUUUCCUCUAUAAGCAUCAUAAAUUGUAACUAAAGAAGUUGGGAUUAGUUAGAAGAAAUAAAAAUAGCCAAAAUAAGGAUAAAGGGUGUCAUUUUGUACAUUUGAUAGUUGUAUCUGAAAGGAUGUAUCUAUCCUUUAUGAAGGGAAAUGAAAUAUUAUCUGAAGAAAAUGGUUGAUCAGAUGUUUCUUCAAAUGACAUAUUCCCUGAUGACCGUUGUGGGUAAUAACGACAUCAUCCCAUAUACUACAACAUAAAUACAUUUCCCAAUUGAAGAACGUCAAUAGAGAGUUGAAUAAUCAGGUUCCUACCGAAUUCCUAUACAACAAUACUAAGCUUCUUAAAAAACACAAUGAAACUGUCUUCAACCAAAAACUAAAUGGCAUAGCUGACAAAAUUUAGUGGCACAACACUUGGAUGUUGUGAUAUUUGGAUAUCAGUGUGUCCAUAAUGUAACUAUAUUAAAAUCCUAGACAAAGAGAAGUGAACCACCUUACUGUUAAAUCUUCCUCUUUGAAUCACACCAAAGCGAUGCUGCUCAUCCACCACAGCAAUACGUAAGGCUGAGAAUUCAACGCUAUCUGCAAACAAACUGUGGGUUCCAAUGACGAUUGAAAUUUCUCCGGUCUGGAUACCCUGCAACAUCAUAUCUUGAAUAAAAUUAUAAGAAUUUCAUAAGGUGCAAGAAAAGAUUAACUGGUAGUUCUAACACUCAGAAAAAUAAGUAAUCAUACCUUGCGAAUAAGCCGCGAUUGUUUUAUUGGGAUUGAACCAGUGAGUAAAGCAACAGUUGGCUUGAACUUGACCUCGUCCGAGUUUUCAAGCAACGCAAGCAAGUGUUCAUAAUGCUGGAUUGUAACCAACUCAGAUGGAACCAUGAAAGCCGCCUAAUAGUUAGACAAGAGUAUCAAUUAUUAAUAUGCAUUACAUGUCAAAACUUUCUAAGAUGCAUAAAAAUCCAAAUGAAAAGCCUGGUUAUAAUAUCCUAUACAUCUGAUAGGCGCAAUGGACGAGUCUAUAGAGAGAUCAUUGGAAGAUAUUAAAGGAUAUUGAAGGAUUAGUUAUGUAUAGAUAUAUAGUGAUGUAACACUGGCAACUGUCAGUCACUAGGGAAUGCUGACUGACACGUGACAGUCAGCUAGAGGUCUUUAUCUUUGUCUAUACAGAGUCUCUUCCUCUACCUGUAAGAAAAACUAACUGAAUAGAAUCAAAAUCUGUUACACAGAGAAGCUAGAAGCUCUCUAGAAUCUUCGUCUUACAUUUUCUAUUAUGGUAUCAGAAGACGACAUCGAUCCGGGGGCUUCCACCCAAACCUUGCCGGUGUCCUCCGCAACACCGCGCCCUCCACCGUUGACGGUAGCUCCGCUAUCGUUUUCGCAUUCGCACUUGUUUUCUGCAAUCUCAGAGAAACUCGAUUCGGAGAACUAACUCCUUUGAUGCCAGCAGGUUGAACCUGUAAUCAAGGCGCAUAAGAUUCAUCACUAUCUCUUGAAUCCCUCGAUUCCGGUGAAAUUCAAAACUCUUGAAGAUGCGGCGGCGAAUCGCGUUUCCGAUGAGUUUGAUACCUGGGAACGGCAAGAUCCUCUGCUAAUUCUGAAUCUGAAAAUCAAUCCUUUUCUAAACAUUUUGAUGGUUCUGGUGAGUGUGAUUGCUGCUCCACUCGCGGUGGCAGAGGCCAUGGUGGCCGGAGUUCAGUACAAUGUCGAGUUUGUCAAAGGUUUGGGCAUGACGCAUCAACUUGCUUUCAUCGUUUCAAGAAGGACUACGUGCCUACUGUGCCUAUGGAAGCACAUGCUCAGUACCCCCAUUCAUUCUCUCCCUGGCAUCAUCAAUCCAGUACUGGAACAGGUAGCAACUUUACUCCAUCUCAUGCCAUGGCAAGCUAAGUCUUGACCUGUUCCCUAGGCUUAUGUUCCAUGGAGCUACUUUGGACCCCCACCUCGUGGUAUGCCACCUCUUCCUACCUUGUCCAUGCCACACUACAAUCUCUAUCCACCUCAGAAUUUCAUGCCCUCCUUUACUGGUGCACUCUCCAACCAAAACCUCAGGCACUCAUGGCUAACUCUGAUUCUGCUAGCUCUGUUAAUUGGCACCCAGAAUCUUGAGCCUCGCAUCAUGCAACUUAUAGUGCCCAGAAUAUUCAUCAGACUACCCCAUUUGAGGGUCCAGAUCAGAUCUAUAUUGGUAACCGGCAAGGUCUGCCAGUAAUUUCCUCAGGUUCCUCUCAAUUUUUUUUUCACCAUUAAACCCUAAAUUUCAAUUUGUUCUGUCUAACUUGUUACAUGUUCCACACACCACGGAAAAUCUUAUUAGUGUAAGUCAGUUUGCUAAAGAUAAUAAUGUUUUCUUUGAGUUCCAUGCUAAUUCUUGCUAUGUGAAAUCUCAGGCUUCCAAUGAGACUCUUCUCAAAAGGGUGCUUGAUAAAGAUGGCUGAUCUGUCCACACACCCAUCACCAAAAUGGCAUGGUCGAACGGAAACAUCGCCAAAUAGUGGAUAUGGGACUCACAUUAUUAGCUCAAGCUUCAUUACCUUUGCUAUACUGGGAUUAUGCUUUUACCACAGCUGUGUAUCUUAUCAACAGGUUACUUACGUCUGCAAUUCAGUUUGCAGUACCAUACACUAAACUUUUUGGCCUAAAACCUGACUACAAUUUUCUCAGAACAUUUGGAUGUGCUUGUUUCCCUUUACUGCGUCCAUACAACAAUCACAAGUUCCAAUAUAGGUCUCUUGAGUGUAUUUUUCUUGGUUACUCCACUUCUCACAAAGGCUAUAAGUGCUUAUCAUCUGAAGGACAUCUCUAUAUCUCCAAGGAUGUGCAUUUCAAUGAAUAUCGGUUUCCUUACUCUCAUUGGAAAUCAGCUUCACAAUCAUCUCAGGUACCACUAUCUCCAUUUGUACCUGCUGCUAUUCCCAUUGCUUCACCACCUACAUCUCCUAAUCACACUUCUAUAACUCACUCACCACCUUUUCACAAUUCACCUCCUGUUCUUAGUACCCCAACCCACAUUAACAACACACCAAACUCAUCGUCAUCCUCCAGUUCUGCUCCCAUUCCUGAAUCACUGACAGCAAUCCCACCAUCAUCCUCCAGUUCAGAACCUACCCCUGAACCAAUCCACACAAAACCUAUUCCAGCAUACAAGAGACCUCAUCUACCUAGUAUUCAUCCUAUGAAUACACGUGCCAAGAUUGGUAUUACAUGUCCCAUACUUCAUCCAACUCUCUUGCUUACACAUGCUUAACCCAAAACCACUAAACAAGCCUUAGCUGAUCCUACCUGGCUUGCUGCAAUGCAGUCAGAAUAUGACGCCCCGCUGAAAAACAACACCUGGAUUUGUCACUCUUCCCUCCAACAGGGUCCCCAUUGAAUGCAAAUGGGUAUUUCAUAUCAAAGAAAAUCCUGAUGGAACAGUCAAUAAAUAUAAGGCACGUCUAGCGGCGAAAGGCUUCCAUCAGAGAUAUGGUGAUGACUAUACUAAAACCUGCAGUCCUGAUAUAAAGCCUGUUACAGUUCGCACCAUUUUGUCUUUGGCCUUGUCAAAGGGUUGGCACUUUCUCAAUGUAAACAAUGCCUUUCUCAGUGGCACUCUUGAAGAAACGGUCUACAUGACCCAGCCUCCAGGAUUUGAGCACACAAACAAAUCUCUAGUAUGCAAGCUCAACAAGGCUCUCUAUGGCCUCAAACAGGCGCCUAGAGUGUGGUUUGACAAGCUUCAAACUACUUUCCUUCAGUUUGGAUUUUAUGCCAGCAAAUGUGAUCCAUCUUUCUUCAUCUACUCUAAGGACAAUUGUCUCAUCUAUAUGAUCGUUUAUGUUGGAGACAUGAUUGUCACUGGUAACAAUACACCUUUACUUCAACAGCUGGUGUCUCACCUUAACUCAGCUUUUUCCUUAAAAGAUCUUGGCGCCUUGAAAUAUUUCCUCGGUAUUGAAGUCAAACCUCAGUCAAAUGGCUCUCUUCUUAUUACACAAAGCAAGUAUGUGAGAGAUCUUCUAGCCAAAACCGACAUGCAGGAGGCAAAGUCACUUCCUUCUCCCAUGAUUUCUGAUUUAAAGCUGUCUAAAGAUGGAUCCACCCCUUUCUCAGAUCCUACUCUCUGUAGGUCUAUUGUUAGGGCCCUCCAAUACGCAGUAAGUACUCGGCCAGACAUUUGUUUUUCAGUCAAUAAAGUGUGCCAGUUUAUGUCUAAUCCAUUAGAAUCUCAUUGGACCACUGUCAAACGUAUUGAGGCAUCUUAAGGGUACUCUGAGUUGGGGCCUUCUUGUCAGACCCAUCCCUACCUAUCCUCUCUCUAUAUUGGCCUACUGUGAUGCAGACUGGGGGUCAGAUCCUGAUGACCGUAGCGUAGAUGCAUGUGUAUUCUUAGGUCCGAACUUAAUUUCAUGGUGGGCAAAGAAACAAGCUGUUAUUGCCAGAUCAAGUACAGAGGCUGAAUACAGCAGCUUAGCACUGGCCAAAUCUGAGUUACUGUGGGUACAGUCUUUCCUCUCUGAGUUAGGAGUCUCUUUCACCAGUCCUAAGGUUCUUGUGAUAACAUGAGCACUGUUGCUGAGCUCACAAUCCUGUCCUUCAUGCCAGAUCAAAACAUAUGGAGCUAGACUUAAGGUUAUCCAAAAGAAGCUUUUUGUCUCCAACGUUCCUGGACAGGUUAAGGUUGUUGACAUUAUGACUAAGGCUCUACCUCCUACCAGAUUUGAAGGCUUGAGAACCAAGCUAACUGUGUGUUGCAGCCCCACAGUCUAGCUUGCGGGGGAGUAUUAAAGGAUUAGUAUGUAUAGAUAUAUGGUGAUGUAACACUGGCAACUGCCAGUCACUAGGGAACGCUGACUGACAUGUGUCAGUCAUCUAGAGGUCUUUAUCUUUGUCUAUAUAUUGUCUCUUCCUCUUCCUGUAACUGUAAUGAAAAACUCUAACUGAAUAGAAUCAAAGUUUGUUACACAAAGAAAAGCUAGAAGCUCUCUAGAAUCUUCAUCUUACAUUUUUCUAUUAGAAGAGGAGACAGGGAGGCAGGAGGGAGUAACUUAAUCAAACACAUGGCAGUAUAGGAGAGGAGGGGGGAUUGAGGUUUCAUGACGUGUACGAUGGAUAUGUUUGAGAAGUAAAACCAAAUGGGAAAGGCAUAAGAGAAUUGAGUAGUUCAGGUGGGUUGGACUGAUAAGGGAUCAUGUCUGUUCUCAGCUUGGUUCUUCAAUUUUCUGUUAUAUUACAAUUUUGUAAGUAACCAGGUUCCACUCCAUUGUCAAUUAUAUUAUAUGUUCUAUAGUUUUGUAUUAAAUUAGUAACACUCUGGAUAUGAUGUGUUCUCUCCUUCAAGUCAGUUUAUGUUUCUAUCUCUGUUUGAUUCCUAUAAAUAUCCAUCACUUUAAUGACAAAUGAAGGGAAUAAAUUGACAGGCUAACAGCAUGCAAAAUAAAAAGGGCGAAGUACCUGGUAGCCAGAGCCAAUAACUUCCAUGCAUGCAAGAAAAGCAACAAUAGUUUUCCCACAUCCAACAUCACCCUGAAAGUGUCACAAGAUAACAUCAGACGGGAAUAUUCAUGUUCAUCUAUUAACUACAAGAGAUCAAUGAAAAAGAUCUAAUAUUAGAAUGAUUUUUACUUUAGCAAUAUUAUUCAUGUCUGAGAAUGUUUUAUUGAGGCUUCCAUUUGGGAGGAGGAUCUUUUAUCAUCCAAUCUCAAAGGAACUUUCUACUAUUAUCUUAACCAUAUUAAUCUUAAUCCCCAAAGAACAAAAAAGGUUGGUUAUUCUAAUCCAGAAUUAUCUUGAAAGAUUUGAAGUUUAGACCUGGGAGCUGUUGUUAGAAUUCACACAUGAAAGUUAUUGGAAAUUUUUUAAUUGAAUCCGUAUUUACAUGCUUGAGGGGUUUGUUUCAUAUCACCCAAUUUCUAACAUUACUUUUUCUAUUGUUUGUACGUACGUGAAGCAAGAAGUGGAUGGAAUAAUGUAUAAAUAUGGCGAUAGUAAAACAACAACAUAAGAAAAAUCAAAACCUGAAGUAGCCGACUCAUUGGAACCGGCCUUUUUAAAUCCCAAAUAAUUUCUGAAACAGCUUGCAGUUGACCGGAAGUAAGAGGAUAGGGAAGGAGCUCCAAAACCUUCUUGGUGAGACAGGACCAUUCCUUUGUACAGUGUUAUUUUCUGGUCUUCUAUACUUAUCUAGCAACCCAACCUUUUCUACUUGUGUACCAAGACCUUCGAGCAUUUGGAAUAAUUGUCCUAACUGACAAAAGACAGAACAGAAUUAGAUCAAAUAAAAAAAAAAAAAGAUUUCAGUAUAUAAGAAGAACGAUAAAUUAUUACAAGGAAACAUGAUAGAGCGCAAUAUAUAAUGGGUGAAAAGGUCAAACAAUUACUGCAGAUGCCCAGCAUACAGUUCACCAGAAGUGUAAUUCAAAAGCAUUGGGAACUCCAGAACAUUAAAGAAAAAUUUAUGCUCAACUGCAUGUAAGUUUAGGUUAAAUUUUUCAAUAGAAACUCUUACAGUUGGGUUGGACUGAAAGAAAACCAGAUUGUAACGUGAGGAAUGUCUCCCACUUAUAAAAACUUUUUCAUCAAAAACAAUUCCAAAUUUAACAUCAAGAUGAUAAGCCAAACAUUGACCAAGCAAAAAGAACUGAAGCAUACAAAGGAUGCGUUUGGAUAAAUAGCUUGAUUAAAUGCUUAUUUAAAGAGCUACUCCGCGGAGCUUAAAAAGCUGCUAAUUCAUAAGCCUAGUUGUUGAUCCGUACCAUGAACAAUGGUCAUUAGUAACUUUCAAAUAGAUACCUAAAAUAAAUGGAUUCACAUAUGACACCAUGUACCCAAACAUAAGCUGGAUAAUGGUAGCAAAAUAAAAAGAAAAGGUUUAGAAAUGUACACAGAUGAUACAGCACACUAAAUGUGACAAAACUAUAAUCUCACCUGCAGGUAAAAAAAUUCAUCAAAUAUCAGUCUCUUGCGGGCCAGAUCAGCUUCACUAAUAUCCUUUGGUUUGUGAAUUCCAAAAUAUGCCUGUUUUUUUAGUAUUGAAGAAUUUAAAAUUUCAGUUAAAGUAUACAGAAGCAGAUGACAGUGAAGAUUCAGACAAUAUGAAAUGAGUCAGUAAUUUUUUCUUAGGCAUAGAGACCAUUGCAUAUGUAGAAAGAGUGAAAACAGAGACAUGAUGCAGAAACCAUGUGAUAUAACUACACAAUCGAAUCCAUUUUAUAUAGGCUUAAUUCAAUAAAUACAAAUAAAUAUAAGUGAUUAUGUUCCUGUAUAAUAUGCCUAAUAAUUUUAAUGAUCCUAAUUAAAGUAAACAAAUCAUAAAAUAUAAAAUAAAAAUUAAUCCGAACAAACUAUCUGGGAUGCUCUAAAAUGGUCCAAAAUAUAAAAAAAAAUAUUAUGGGACAUUUCUCAGACUUUCUAACAUUCCCUCUCAAUCUAAAGCUUGCUAAGUUUUCAACUUGUUACAAGAAAACAUAUAUCUCAACUGUGCAAAAGAAGGUUGCUAGAAAGAUAGCUUGGCUUGAAUGAUUAUCAGCCCAUGUACAUUUUCCUUCUUUUAAGGCAUGGUCAUAUUAAGAAUACUUGUUAUCUCUUUUUUCGAGCUUUACUUUCGCUCUCAUCCUCAACAAAAAAAAAAAAUAUACCCCUAAUAUUGUAACACUUAUGCAAUUCAUCAGCAGGAUCAAACAUAUAUCUCACACAAUAAUUAAAGUUUAUACAGCCAAGUGUGUGACUAUCGUCAGGUUUCAUAUGGUAGGUAGGCUUCAUCAAUAGAAUAAAUAGAUCUAAAAGAGAUACUUACAUCAUGAAGACUUAAGAGUCCAAAUUCCUCUCUAAUGUCUUUAGGAAUUGGAUCAACAAUGACUGGCAAGGCAUGUAAAGCUCUAGAAGAAAUAAAAGAAAUAUAUUUAAUACAUUGUUAGUUAUAAGAUUUGAGAAGAAUUUAUUGAAAACUAUUAAUAGAUGACCACAGUACUAGCAUAAUAUACAUAAUUGCAAACCAAAAACUAGGAGAACCAAUCUCUCUUAGUCUCCUAAUACCAAAAAUACAGAAAUAUAAUUGUACAAAUUAAAAAGAAAAUAAGGGUAAAAAAAAUUAUAAUCUAAUCACACAACGCUCACCCUCAAAUCCAUUAAAUGAAUAUCCAUCUUUCCUACUUGCCAAUAAACUCAAAAAGUCUCUAUGAGAGUCCCUUGCUUAAUACAUCUACCAACUUACAUAAAUAAGGUCAUUACUCAUUAGUUAAAUUUUUCUUGAUUAAGUGUCAGUCUAUCUCAAUAUGCUGCUGCCAAGGAUCCGUGUAUACAGAGUCUCCUAAAUUGGAAGCUAUAUACCAAUUUUGAAAGGAAUGUAAUAAAUAUAUUUGUUGACCAUAACAGCACAUACAUGAUUUACAUUAUAUUUAGAAAUUGUGCAUAACAUCAAGAUAUCAUAAGAUAUUUUCAUGUGUGUGAAGUUUGAGAAUAAUUAACCAAUCAAGUAUUUGAUAAUAGACCGUUCCUAACUGUUCGGACUUAGAAUAAUGGGAAGCUUUCGAGAUUGGAGUUAAGAAAUUAAUUAGGGGCUAUUAGUUGUUAAGUUUGUUAGACUUUCUGCUUUUCUUGCUAUUAACCCUAUGAUUUAUAAAUGGGACUAAGCUCCCUUUAGGAUGAUUAUGAAUUCAUUUUAUGAAAGUUGUAAACUAGAAAAUGCUCUCUAGUGAGGGGAAAGUGCUAUCUUGGGGUAGCCUUUGAGUGCAAGGUUGUCAUCUUCAUUAUAAACCUUCUGUAGCUUAUCUUUCAAUCCUAUAUCUCAUUCAAUCGAUAAUAACAAAAAGUUAUUCAAAAAAUUCUUCUUUUCUCAAUUUUAUUGAUCAAUCUUUAUUUUAGUUGGAAUUAUUCUCUUGUUUAUUCAUUUCUGCCAAGUUUUGGGAAUCAAUAAUCUUAACAACAGUCAUGUCAAAAUACCACUGUUCAAACACGAAUAAAUUAUAAUAUCUUUGUUUUUGUAUGUAAAAUGAUAUGGUAGGCUUCCCGCAUUGGGCAUUUUUCAAAUUAAUCAACAUCCACUUGCAAUGGUUGUCUUUUUUUUUCAUCCACUUGCUAAAUAAGCCUUCCUCAUAUAAUACCUACAAAGCUACAAUAUAGUAGGUUACAAACCUACUAUGCAAGUUUGUCAUAUUUGGAUUUAUUUUUCUAUAUAUACAUGUUGCCUUUGUUGAAGUGCAUUCCAUCCCCUGAACCCUUCAUACGCUCUCUUUGGUAUGUGAAUCACUUGAACCCUUCAUACUCUCUUUGCUAAGUGAACUACUGUUGUUUUUUCUUUCUAUUAUUUAUGCAUAUCUAUAAAUUUGUCCUUCAUUCUGAGAUUUAUCUCCAUAAUUGUGCUCCAUGCUCUAAAUUUGUAAUGAUGCAAGUGGUCCAUUGGAGGAUAUAAAUCAACAAAUUUUGUUAUUUGUAUGUAGUCUUCUAUACAAGAUAUGUAAAAUCCAUGAUUUCUUCUUCUGUAUUUCUGCAUUUGUCUGUUCAACAACUUUAUGCAUGCAAUUUUAUGUCUCUUUUUUGUCUCCAAUCCAUAGGUUUACACGUUUUACUCAUGGGACUCUUGAAGCAACCACACCAGCAACAUGAAACACACCAACAAAAAUACACAAUUAGUCCCUAAGGUUUAAAUUUUAUUUUGAAAGGAAAGAUGGUUAAAGUGUGAAAGAAAUAUUGAAUCUUUUAAUGUUUAUGUAAUCUGUCCAAGUAGUAAAUAUAGUUUAACAAAAAGGUUCUCAUGUUUAUUCAAGAAUUCAGUCUAUCAAUUAUUGAGUAGUGUCUGAAGCAAACACACCAGCAACAUGUUAUAUUAAGUUUAAAUUUUGUAUUUUAAAUUAUAAAAUGCAAUCUAUCUAAACACACAUUUAAAAAAGAAAACUAACAGAUUUUCUGAGCAGUUCUUGCAUUCUAUUCCAGGUUGGUCCAAAAAACUAACAGAUUUUGUAUUUAUAACAUCCAAUAGUCCAAAAAAGUACAUAAACCAUGUAAAAUUGGAAGCAUUUUGCUUGAAUUAUCUCAUACUAUACUGCCAACAUGAACAUACUCCCAUCCAGACAUAAUCUGGAGCUUGUCUGAGCCACAACUUAUCUAAUUAUAUAAUUUUUGUAACAUAAGUCUGAUAUACUUUUCUGAUCAUAUGUAUAUCUGAAUACAUUCUACUGAGUAUAUAUUUCCUUAUACAUAAAUAUUAGGGUAUCUCUCAUGAUAAUGCAUUGUGCAAUUAAAUAUGUGUUUUAGCCUCAUUUUGCCAUCAGAAAUUCAUCCGGGAUCAAAAGGAAUGUUCGUACUUGAUUCAAUGGCGUUCUAAAUGAAAAAUCAAUGUUUUGUUGCGUAAAAAUUACAUUCCCGGGGUUGGUAAUCGAUUACCGGUAUGUGGUAAUCGAUUACCGGUAUGUGGCAAUCGAUUACCACAGUAAAACAUAUACUUAAAGCAUAGCAAGGCAAACAUAUACUUAAAUCGACACAACCAUCGUAUGGGGUACUAAUUAACUUAAUUUAAUCUAAGAUAAUUAUUUAUCUCACUCAAACAUAAUCAUAAACUAUCUAAAAGGUGGGUUCUACAACUAAAGGAACUCACCGCGACUUAUCUAACCACUUUCAACAGCUUAAGCUCCACCUUCUGCUUAAGCCUCUGUCUGCCAAGCUCUUGCUUCUGUCUUCUCCAGUCCCCUAAAUCCAAUUCCUACUUGUUUUUGUCAGCCCAAUAUGCAUAAACAUCACAGAGACCUUGCCUUCACUAGCUUAUCUCCAAACUUUAAGUCUCAAGCUCCUACAUUCUUGCUUCAGCUUAUGCUUAUUCUUCAAUUUCUUUCCAAGCUCUCCUACUUCAAACCAAAUGUUUAAAAUCAGUUUCUUUAAGUGCUCCUAAGCCUCCAGGGAAUCAGAGUGACAUGAAAAGACGAUCCUCAUGUUCCGAACAUCUCACUUACCGGUUUGUAUGGCUAUGUCAAACCCGCAGGGUCCACCCUGCAAAUUCCAGCAUCAGUACCUUAACUUUCACAAUUUAAUUAAAAUACUAAACAAUAUCCGUUUUGAGCAAACGACCACUCAUUGGAAAGCUUAGGGUGUCAGGAUUACAAAUAUAAUUUUUGUUUUGAGGGUUAACCAUUCAAUUGGUUCAGUUUAACAAAAGAGCGGGUAUUGGUACAUAAACAUGACUGAAACUUUCUCAAACUUGUAGGCAGCUUUUCUCCUACUAUACUUAAUGAAAUUUAACAACUCUAGUGUCUAAACUAUAGGAAAUUUUGUCUUCUUUACAUUGGAUUAAGAAUCAUUAACAUAUGACCUAUUUUCAGAGAGUUAUGCUAAUUUUACCACAGGUAUGUUUACACGAAUUUCACACAAACAACUCUUCUUUUAUAUGAACUUGCAAACCAAACAUAUACAAUCCAAUAAUAGCCAAAACCAGUCCAUUUAAACUUAUAAAAUCCCUUUAUUUUCCAUCUUUUAGGGUCUCAGGUUUGGCAUGAAAGAGAAAGAAAGGAAUAAAGAGAGAAGGUUUAAUUCAUCUUACCUCAGUUUCUAGACAUCCAAAGCUUGAUUUUCAUGAGAAUUUCGUACAUGCAAUAGGAGGGUUUGAAGAAAAGAAAUGUGGGGGUUUUUGGUUUGAUUCUAAACAGGAGGGAAAAUGGAGAAUUUGAGCAAAAUAUUACUGGAAAUGGGUUUCUUUGAUGAUGGGUUUAUGAUUUUCAUUCAUGGAUGUGCUUGAUUUUGAGGGAUUGGUGAGGAAGGAAUUUGCAGGUGAUGACCAAGGUGAAGAAGAGAGGAUGGCGUCUGAGAAAAGAAGAGAGAGAUAUAAUGAAAAUUCUGAUUUUCAUUCCGAGAAAUGAUAUUUGAACAUAAAUGACAACUUUUGCAACAACUUUCUUUCUUAUACUCACGUUACUUUUUACUUUAUCUCUCUAUUGCUAUGAUUUUUGUGCCAAUACCACAUUUUUCUUUGUAAAAUAUGGUUGUCAAAUAAGUUGUCACCAAAUUGGUUGUUCAAAUAACACUCCUCUUUCAUUCCUCUUAUUAAUCACAUUUAACCCUUUCCUCUUUUACUAUUUUGCCCCUCCUUUUACUACUAAAACAUAAUUGUUUCUUUUCAUCAAUAUUUCUCCAAUUUACUAUAUAAAAUUUUAUCUCAUCCUUUAUUUGGAGUCUCUAAUUCACACCAUUAUUAUUAAUGAGAGCUGGAUUAUUACAAUUGUCUUGGUAGUUUGAACUCAAUGUUGAUUUAUUGACUUUGAAAUCAACAACGAUAUAAAUCGGUGUGUUAAUCAAUAUGGUUGUAUUGCUCUUAUUUAAUUUCUGAAAUUUGUUUUUAUGUUUUUUGUGUCUCGCUCGAUAUUUAUGAAAAUUCUUUAAUGUUGUCAUUAUGUUUAUGUUUUUUCUUUUAUAUUAGAUAAUUUGAGGCUCAUAUUGGUUCUUUCAUUUAUAAAAUAUUGUUGGUAUCCACCCGUGCGUGCGUCACGCACGGGCACUAGACUAGUUCUUUCCAUACUGCAAAUGGUUUCUAACCCUAACCUAGAAAUUUUUCCACAAAAGAAUAAUUUUACAAAUAAGAUUGUGACACGCAAGAAUUUGGAAGCACAAACCUUGCAAUGAUGUCCCGAAGGAAUGUUGGGUUCAAACCCCCUUUUGAAGGGUAGAUACAAUAUGGCCUCUCUUUUGCGCAAAGGGAUAAAUCUUUCCCAUCUUCAAGCACAUCAAUAUUAAAUUCUCUUAUCUCGUAGUGACCUUUAGCAGGCAUAGUCUUAACCUACUUCAAAAAGCAAAAAUUAUGUACAUUCUUACGAAAUUCUUGGAUUAAAACAGAAUAUUCACAUAUAAGAUGCGGGGGAAAAGAGGUUUAUCGUAGUGCAAUCAUGAAAGUAUGACAGAAGCAAAGCAAACUCAAAUACUCAAUCAUACAAAUAUAAUAAGAAUUUCAACCAUCUGACGAACUUAGAAUACCUUCAAAAUAUUUUACAAGGAGAGAAUGACUAAUAGAUUAACAUAAUUUCUUAUUAGGGACCUUAACGUUUAAGGAUGCCAAACUUAGGUAUUUUGAGAUAACUUCCUAUAGAAUAUGAUUAGCUAGUACCUUAUCCGUUAACUUUGGGACGAAAACCCUAACUUUAGGAUGUUUCCUAGAGUUAACUUUACAAUGUGUAGUGACUCUUGUAUUUAUAAUACUAUGUGGGCCGAGCCCAUGUGCUCAAGAUUACAUCCUAAUGACUCUUAUUAUAAAAAUUUUAAACGGUGUGAUUAAAUAAAAUAUUGUAGAACAUUAACCCGUUGCUGAAAAUCAAAGGAUCUCAACUACAGAAUUUUAGUUACGGGCCUAAACUUAUAUAUAUGAAAGAAAAAAGAUAUAUAAUGAUUUUCUAUAUUGGAAAAACACCCAAGUCCCGCAUUGCGACAUAGCCUAAAUAGAGCUUAUCAAGCAAGGGUAAUCCUCGGAUUAAAACUAACUUUGUGGGGUUGAAUUAGGGGAAGGUCCUUAUACUAAUAACACUAUUCUUUACUAUUAAAAACAAAGACUUCUUCUUGGCAGUAUUUGAUUUGUAUGUCAUUUUAAAUUUAAUUCCACUAUAAGCCCUUGCAAGGGUUGGUAGCGAGAAUUGCAGCAUGCCUUGACCUAGAACAACAUCCCCUCCCGAAAGUCUUCCAUUAAACACAAUAAGUAAACAAUCUAUCAUUUAAACAUUAUUUGCAGUCAAGAGAUAUCACUCACUCACAAUUACUAAAGCAUGUUUGAAGUUUGAACAUAUACUAGUGGUGUGAAAUUUGCUUUAGAUAUUUUGCCCUUGAGAGAAUUUGGGAUCCCCCAACCUUCUCCUCUUUAACAAAGGAAGCAAAACACCGCCCUUAAACUUGGGUUUUCAGAGUGAUUGCUCUGCAGUGCCUUGUACAAUUCAACAGCCAAUAUACCUAAGAAUACUGAACUAAUUGAGCCAACUAAUAAAAAUAUCAAGGCUCCCCAAGCAAGUAUUUUAUUUGGGGUAUGCAACUAUACAUGGCUCAAACUCGGCCUCACAUUAAGAAUGCAAUGCAGUUGCUUACUUCACAUAGUUCAUUUAUGUCGAAGGCCUAUCAUUUGCCUUCAAUACUCAUAUUUAGGCGAACAUCUAAGAACUUCAGGAAAAAUAAAUUCAUCUACAUUGAAAACUUGCAGUACAGCAUAAAAAUGGGUUAGGGAAGACAAGUAAAAAAAAAAACUCACCUUGCCACUCACACAUGCUAUGUCUCUCACUUGAUACUUGUUCGCAAUACUAUUUAGGAAACCUUUAAAAGUAAAACUUGUGCCACGGAAAAAUCUCUUUAAAUGCAAAUAAACUGUCUUUGUUUUCCCAACUUUGUCGGUUACCUAGAAGUAUAUUACUCGCAACCUCAUUCAAGUGAGAGAAAAAAAGUGUAGGAGAGUGCAUAUGCCAAUAGAGAAGGAUAAAAACUUGCAUAAAUCUGGUUAACAAAUGAUACACAGGAUAGUCACCUUGAAGAUAAGACUUCUCCAACAAACAUCAAAUAUUGCCCAUCAUAAAUGUUCCCAUGUGCAUUCUGUAGAUUAGCAUAUGAUCGUGGAAAAUGGUGCAGCAAUUUCCGUAACUACAUGUAAAGAAUCGGAUUAAUGUCGAAUCCAAUCCAUCUUUAAAAUCUGAAAAUCCAAAGAACUACUACACAUAUUCCAAAAGGCGGCAGUUUUUGGUACCCACCGUGUGAAACCCACAGUUAUCUAGUUGCUCACGUUGCUUCUUAGUUAAUCCAGGUAAGCAAUUGACAGAUGUGUCGAGAGAUAACUCAUUAAGUGUAAGGUUUGACUGUGACUGCAGCCCCACUUUCUUUUGAGAAUCUUCCCUAGUAAAUCCAAUUUUUCCUCAUAUAUUGAAGACACUGAUUGAGGUGUUAAAGGACAAGGAAAAGAAUCAUCUUUUCGUAAUGGUGAAGAUGUUAAACUAGAAUCGUAUAAAUGUUGUUCAAAAUCUUUGGUUUCCGAAAUGAUAUUUGUUUCAGAAUAUGCUGUGGUCCCAUCAUACAAACCCACUUGAGGAGGACUACCCAAAGUAAUUGAUGGAAAUAUCCUACACAUCAAGGAGAUGUCGAAAUCAUCUACUGCAUCUUUCCGAUUCAUUUUAGAUUUCAUUUCACCGCUUCCAUUUCCAAUUAGAUCAGGAAUGUUAUGAUCCAUAAGAGCAAAUACCUGCAAGUAAAAUGAAUUUCAAUCAAUGUUACAUUUAAUACAGGCAGUCAUAAGCAUUUAAUUAAUAAUAUCAAAACAUUUCUUAUCAGCUGAAACAUUCAAAGCGAUCUACUAUAAAAAGUAAUGACCAAAUGGCAUCUAUCAAUAUUAUAUACAAGAUUGAUAAAAGAAUGUGAAGAGAAUAGGCAUGUGAAUUUCCAGUGACGGGUUAGGCAAUAACACAUUUGAUACAUGUAUCUCUCUGCCUGUAAGAGUUAUCCAGCCACACCCACCAUAAAUUCCUCCAUACAUCACAAUCUCAAUUGAGAAGCACAACCAAAUCAGUCUGCUAUAAGCUGCAAUGGACCCAAACUUGCUAUAUAUACUCAAUUUUAACCAUUGAAUCACAGCUCCUUACUAUUGUAUUGGAUCUUUAAGUCAAGCACGAUAAGAGUAUCUACGCAGAUUAGAACGCAAUCCCGGUCUAAGCUAGAAUACUUACUCACAAACCAGGUAGAAUAGAACAAACCACCCAACAAAUUAAAUCUGACAUUAAUAUAGAGGUAGGUGUUGUCUUUCUUCAUGUAUUCAUACAAGAAUUUGAGUAUAGAACAACAAAACAAAUGCCUUUUCCCAUUGAAUGGGGUCAACUAUAUUGCUCGACAACAACAACAUCAUAGUGUCCUAUUGUAAAUCACAAACAAUGAAAAAUCUUCCAUUUAAGUAUUAACAAAAGGAAAGUAUCGUCUAAGGAUAAGUUAAGCAAGUGUUCGAAGUUUGGACGUAUCAGUUUUCUAUCAUUGUAAGUAAGUAUUCCUCAAUUUCAUCAGUCCCCCUCAAAAUCCUAUGUAUAAGAUAUUCUUCUAUUUCAUCAUCAUUUAGUACUAUAGCGCCACUGUCAUUUAAUCCUAUCCUAGCGUAGCACUUGUAUCCUAUUUACAACUUUGAAAUAUAACAGAAAUGUUUUCUAUAAAUCACUGGAAAGUAGAAAGUCAAAAACAAAAAGAAAAACUGAAAUCACUUCAUCAUAUACAACAAAAAGCUCCACGCAAAUUAACAGAUACCAUUCUACAAAAGCAUUGAUCUACCUUCUUACGCAACUUUACAGUGCUCUUUACGCCGUGCUGGUCUAUUUCAACAACCUUCUGGUCUGUAAAUUUAUGCUUCAUCCGGUAACACAUUUUCGAAAACUUAAAAGGGAGAAAAUUACAACACCUGAAAUGAAACAAGCAACAAAAAUCAAGCCCGUGUCUUUGUCCUUAAUUUUCACCAUCCUUACAUACACUUAUACCUAUAUAUAAAGGAGAUACAUAGUUUUGGUGUAGUAUUUUUUCUUCCAAUUAUACCAUUCAUCAAAACUAUUAUGUUGAACCAUUUUAUCCUUUUUACAAUAUUACUUAAAAUUUUAAUUGAAAAAAGGUAGUUACAUCUCAUUACAAUAGGAACAAAAUCUUUUCAAAAUAAAAGGAAGAACCCACAUUGUAAAAAAAAAACUCGGUAUCGGGUCUAAGAGCCAACUAAUCUGGGAGACUAAUCCCACCAUCCACUAGCAGGGGUCUGGUUAAAGCCAGAGCAAAGCCCUAUAUGAACUAGUUUGAACCUGAGACCUCAAGAGGAGCACAGUCCGAGGUUCAAGUCUACACCACCAGGUCAACCCCGGAGGUUCAUAGGGAACUUAUUUCGAUCUUAUCUACCAAAAUUAUUUGAGUGCGGUAUAUGCUAAAAAAUUUAAGCAUGUUAGUGACCGUUUUUGCGCCAGUGAUAAUUAGGCAAAGAAUGAUGAAAUGAGAAGAAUAUGCAAUAUUAUACCUCAUUUUAGUGCUGAAAGGGUUUGAAUAACCAGUCUUCCCUUGAAAGAGUAUAACAGUUCUUGCAACUCAUGCACUGAAAAGACUGAAGAAUCACCUCAGGAAAUAGAACAUCAAUGAAAUGAAGAUGCAAAAACAGCAUUUUGUUCAAAUUCAGCAGCAUAAUUUAACCAUUGCAUGAAAAUAAUAUAAUCUAGGUCAGUUGAUAAUAAUAAGGUUGGUUGAGAAAUUACCAUUGUAAUGUUGUUGGCGUUGGAAGUGCGACGGCGGAGAGAUGGGUGUCGGACGUGGCGGUGGAAGGUGGCGGUGACGAUCGGACUGUGAGAGACGAAGAGAGUGUGGUUCUUGUUAUUCGAAGCUACAAGGUGGGAAAAUGUAAAGAGAAUUACUGCUAACACAUUUGAUAAGGUUGUGCCACACGAGUACUUUACCAAAAUGUCUUUUGCCGAAUUUUUAGUAAACCGGCGAUUUUUAGUAAACCGGCGGCAGUUAACUACCGAGGAUAUCCUCCACAGUUAACUGCCGAUGCGAAUUGAACAUAACAGAAGCAGAAACUCAGUUUUCUGAGUAUUGCUUCAUUCUUCAAAUAUUUUCCAAACCAACUUCUUUUCCAAUUUCGAAUUUUCAGCAAAAUCAAGUGCAUCAUCUCCAUUUAAUCACAAGUAAGUAUCUUGAUUAAUUUGUAAUCAUAAUGUUAGUUUGGGUAGGGUUUUUUUUUUUAAAAAAAUGGUAGUUUUGAUGUGGUUAGGGUUGAUAUAGGAAUUGAAUUUUUUAUGAGUGCAUGUAGUUUAUAAUUUCUUCAAAAAAAAAUGUAGUUUAUAAUUGAAUGUAGUUGCUUUAAUUGAUGAUUAAAUGAUGUUAGAGUAUAAUGUGGUUUUGAAUGGUGGCAAAAGAACACAUUUUGAGUAUGUUUGAUACUUUGCACACAAAGUGUUUGAUAAAAUGUGUCAAUGACAAUUUUCUUGAUUAUUUGGUUAGUUUAGGCUAUGGAUAUGAUUUUGAUUGUAAUUCGAAAAAGUGUAUAUUGAAUUAGGUUGAAUGCAUAUUGAAAAAGUGUAUAUUGAAUUAGGUUGAAUGUGUAUAUUGAAUUAUGUUUAGUUUAGGUUGAAUGUGUAUGAUAAUGCAUUUGAUUAUUUACGUUUUAAUGUAAAUGAUAGUGUGUAUGAUAAUGUUUAAGUUCAAUCAAUGUGUUUAUUUUGGUCAUGUGGUUGAAUGUGAAAGUGGUUAUGUUUAGGUUAUGUUUAGGUUGAAUGUGAAAGUUUAGGUUAUGUUUAGGUUUAGUGUUUUUGAUAAAGUGGUUGAAUGUAUAAGUUGAAUAAUGUUUAGCUUCAAUGUGUUUAUUUUAGUCAUGUGGUUGAAUGUGAAAGUGGUUAUGUUUAGGUUGAAUGUGAAAGUUUAGGUUAUGUUUAGGUUUAGUGUUUUUGAUAAAGUGGUUGAAUGUAUAAGUUGAAUGAUGUUAAUUUUAUUAUUUUUUGUGUAGAUAUGGCUGAUUAGGACCUCAUUGAUUCAUCUAAGAUGAUUGGUGGUAGGCGUGCGAUGACUCGGAGCCACCGGAGGGAGAGGCAGAGCGGCCACAUCCCAAAGAGGGGUAGAGGUCGGAGGGGAGAUGGUUCAGGGAGCUCUCAGGCUACACAGCCUGAGGAGUCACAGGUUGUUGACCCGUCACAGCUUGUUGACCAGUCUGGGGUGGAGUACCUGAAUUAUCAGGAUCAAGUACACCACAAUGUGACUGAGGUGGAUAUGACCAGGAUCAUAUACCACAACAGCAGCAUGUAGGAGACGAUGAUGACAUUGCAGCAGCUGCUGCACCGGAGGUGUUACCUGUGGACCCUCCCUUUCCUGGUGGACCGACAGACUUAUCUUUGCUCCACUCUUAUGCCAGUCAUGUGGCGUUGCCACUUUGGUAUAAUUCAGAUAAUGUAAGUGUAAUUUUUUUAAAUGUUUUUUCUUUAUGUUUAAUUAUUUUCUUUAAAUGUGUGUUUGUUUAAUUAUUAUAUCCACUUUUAUAUGUUUUUUUUAAUUCUUUUUCUUUAUGUUUAAUUAUUUUCUUUAAAUGUGUGUUUGUUUAAUUAUUAUAUCCACUUUUAUAUGUGUUUUUUUUAAUUCUAUUUUUUAUGUUUAAUUGUUUUUUUAUAUGUGUGUUUGUUUAAACUAUAUUUAUUUUUCUAUUAUUUCAGGUUCGUAAGCUCCGUGUGGUUAAACCGAUUAAUCAUGCGGCUAAGAUUCUCACUCUUGGACGCCCAAACGGGAAUGAGAAUUGGUUUUGGGAUCCGCUUAGGCAGAGCGGGUUACAUGACUUGGUUUACUUGGGGUACUUCAGCGUGCCUCAUGCCCUGCUGAUGACUUUAUGCGAGAGGUGGCAUCCUGAGACCAACACCUUUCACAUGCCCAUGGGGGAGAUGACUGUGACAUUGGAUGAUGUCGCUUGUCUCACGCAUCUUCCGAUUGAGGGGCGGAUGUUGAGUCAUGGCAAGAAGAUGCCGAAAAAUGAGGGAGCGGCACUACUUAUGAGGCAUCUGGGUGUGUCGCAGCAGGAGGCGGAAAAGAUUUGCGGGCAGGAGUACGGUGGGUACAUUAGCUACCCGAGGCUGAGGGACUUUUAUACCACCUACCUUGGUAGGGCCAACUUAUUGGCUGGUACGGAGGAUCCAGAUGAGCUUGAGGAGCUGGCGAGGGUUAGGACUUACUGCGUCCGGUGUUACCUUCUCUACUUGGUCGGAUGCUUGUUGUUUGGCGAUAGAAGCAACAAGCGCAUCAAGUUGGUAUAUCUGACGACCAUGGAGGACGGCUACGCAAGGAUGCAUAAUUAUUCCUGGGGAGGGAUGACACUCGCUUACCUAUACGGCGAGUUAGCUGAUGUGUGUAGGCCUGGAGACAAAGCUCUUGGGGGGAGCGUGACACUGCUCACUGUAAGAAAACUUAUAUUUUAUUUUUUUGUUAACUUUAUUUCUUUGUUAAAUUUUAUUUUUUUUUGUUAUAUUUUCCGUGUGUAAUCAUUUAUAAAUGUUAUUUGUUUGGUUUGUGCAGACAUGGUUUUUGGCGCAUUUUCCUGGGUUUUAUAGUGUUGAUCCAACACUGACUACAUGGAAAACUAUCCGGUUGCAGCGAGGUGGAAGCUCCAGAAGGGUCAUGGGGAGGGGAUCAUGUAUCGGUCACUGCUUGAUCGUAUACAGUUAGAUGAUGUAUGCUGGAGGUCGUACGAGGAGCACAGAGAGAUCCAGGACUUCGAGGAGGUUUUCUGGUAUUCUGGCUGGAUUAUGUGUGGUGUCCGUAGGGUGUACCGUCACUUUCCCGAGAGGGUUUUGAGGCAGUACAGAUACGUGCAGACCAUCCCCAGACAUCCCACGGAUGUUGUAGAGCUCCCACUCCCUUACAUUGUGCAGGCGUUCGUCGACUUCCGCACUCACACGCUUAAGGCGGACGAUUGGGGUGAGCAGGCAGGAGAGCAUACAUGGCGGAUGGCUGAUGGCUAUAUGCUAUGGUACACUAGGGUGUCUCACCCUCAGAUUUUGCCACCUCUCCCUGGAGAUCUUCCGAGGCCUGCAAAUGAAGAGCAUAUCAUUGCAGACCAGUUGGAGCGGUAAGAGGCGAGAAGCUCGUCUGACACCUACGACAUGGUUAGCGGCGCUGAUGCACAGUUGGGCCAGGAGGUCAUGAGCAUGACCCCUCAGCAGUGGUUUCAGUCCAUGACGCAUAUGAGGGAGCAGAUCGCGCCGAUCUUGACCAAGAUGCAAGGCCAGAGGCCGAGGAGGAGGCACCAUCAGCACGACCAGGACCAGUAGUAGGAUUUUUUUUUUGUUAGGACUUGUUUUUUAGUUUUUCAGGACAUUGAUUUGUGUUAUCUCGAUUUUGGGGUAUCAAGUCAUUAAUUAGGCUUGAACCUUUCAAUCUUUGAUAUUCUCUAUUUUUUCUUGGGAAGGGUAAAAUUGAGAAAACCCUUAGAAACUCUAAGUUCGGGGGUCGUUUUCGUUACGGGAAGGUAUUUGGCACCCGUAACGACUAUAGUAUUCUAUAGGAACCGCUUUCCUAGCUUUAUGUCUACGCUUUACUUUUAUGCUUAUUUAUUGAAAAGAAAGUUUAUUUAGUUUAAGAAUGGAGGGAGGAAAUGUUUGAGAUUUUAUUUUAUUGGACUUGGAGAGGUUUUGACCUCUUGCCUACAUACCCUUUUUAGGGAUCAAAAUUCCAUGUAGUUCUCUUCCAAAAGUAUUUUUGGUGUGUUUCAAUUGAUUUUAGUUUUUGAAAAUGGUUUUGAAGAAGAGAAAGAGGCCGUAAAGGCAUGAGAGGAAAAGAUAGUGAAUUGUUGGUUCAAUUAUUAAAAUGUCUAAGUAGAAAUUAAGAUUCAUUUGAAUUUGAUUAAGAAAAUAAAGGAAAAUACAAUGGAGUUUUGACUAAAAGGUUUAUUAGGAAAGAUUUGAGUUAUGGAGUUAUUUUCGGGAAAAUGAUAUUUUUUCUAAGUAUUGCGUUUCCUAAACAUACAUCUAAGCGGUAAACAUACAACGUGUGUGCGUGUCGGUGCUUGUGUCGGUGUACAUCAUUAUAGAGAGUCCAUUGUCCUUUACACUUUGCCCUAGUUUACAUGCUAUGGUCUUGCAAGAAACUAAAAGGAAAUUAAACUACCUAGAAUUAUUACAUGUCCACUUAACAUAAAAAUGAAUAGGAAUGAAAUGAUGAAAUGCUAUAAAAUGGAUGAGACAUAGAACAAAAAAUGGUUAGUAAAAUAAGGCAUGAAAAUAUGGCAAAGAGAGCAAACAAAGGAAUAUAUGGUAAACGGUAAAAAAUGACGACAAUAACCACAAUACAAAGAGGAAUGCAAUACUUGCAAGGCAAGAAAUUAACAAAUCAUGUUGAAAACAGCAAAACACACACACAAACAGUGGCAUUCUUAUCAUGAAAUUGCACAUUGAACGUUCAUAUCAUAGAUCAAGAUAUCACGAACGGAAAAAACGAGAAAUUGCAUGAAAUUCAACUAAAGAAAAGAAAAUAAUCAAGAAAGCAACACAUAUAUUUUUAUCAAUUUUAUAACAUGUAAAAAAAUCACAAAAAUGUCAAAAAUGUAUCAAGAAACACAUAGAAAUUUUUAGGAAUUUUUACGAGAAAAUUAGAACGAACAGUGGUUCAAACAGCAAGAAAACAUGGUGUGAAUAGCAAGAAAAUAGCAAAAACGCAGCAAAGCCCAAGCCCAAGCCUAAGAGGCCCGGACGCACAGGAACCACAGGAUUGAUCCAAGGGAUCAAACCCUAGAUCAAACGGCCAGGAAUGAAGGGAAUUGGACCGGUCUUGGACCAGUCCGAUUCACUGGCCUAUAAAAGGAGGGGAGCGCCGGUUCUUUCAUUUGCUAUUGCUCUCUCUAAUUUCUCACUUCUCUCAUUUCUCUCUAACUUCCUCCGCCGGAUUCAUGGAUGAACGGCCGGGGAAGAUGAAGAUCUGGCCGGAACCUUCAUAGGUCCGCCGGAAUCUUCAUCUUCUCCGGUGAGAUCUCCAGUUUCCGGCAACCUCUAACCUCACCAGAACUUCAAGAUUUUUACGUCUUUCUAUUCGCCUUUAAACCCUAAACACAAAUCUAACACUGAUUUUCACAAACAAGGCUUGAAACAACGUAGAUCUAGAAUUUUCAUACGGUUUUGAAAAUUAUUUAGUUUUUUCAACUUUUUUUGAAUGAAACCGUUCAAACUCCUACAGAUCUACAUAGUUUCGUCUUUGUUGCUGUUCUUGAGAAAAAAAGAUGAAGUUUGAGUUUUACCUGAGUCUUUUAUUGGAGAUUUUGCGAGAUUCUUCAGAAAAACUUGAUUCUUGGUUCUGCUUUGUUGAUUUUGCUUGGGAACCGAAAAUAAAUCGGUGUCUUCACCGGUUCACUUUCUUCAUCUUCUUCGCCGGUUUGAAACUCUCUUCCUUUUCUUCUCUGUGAUCGGUGCUGGAGUUUCUCACCUUGAAUUGCAGAGAUUUCAAUUCAAUGAUGAAGAUUCAUCCAUGGAUCCCUGAGAAUUGAUGCAAUUUCAUUGAAUUUAUUGAUGAAGUUUGGUUCUGGAAGUUAGGGUUUGUGAAUUGUUCUUGGUGAUUUUUCUGUUUUGAUCCUAACUGCCAAGAGAGAGAAUCUUUCACGUGUUUGUGAGUUGGCACUGAUUGAAUGGGUCUCUGUGGAUUUCUCUGACACUGUGCACUAUUUAUAAGCUGCCACUUGUACUUGAGAUCCAAUGAAAUGGUGACACCUGGACUUGUAUGGCUCGGCCUUGGACUUGUUGUGACCUAGGGACCUUUAUGCAAAAAAGUAAAAUUGAGGACUAAACUGCAAUUAAUAAUAAUGGACUAAAAUGCAAUUUUUUAAAAAGUUUUGGACUAAAGUGCAAUUUUGGAAACUUGCUUAAGGGACCAGAAUGCAAUUAAAAAUAAAAUGGAAUUAAAAUUGGUAAAUUGGAAAAAAAAAAAAAAGUAAAGUGAAACCUAAAAUAAAACCAGCAAAAGGACUAAAACGAACCAAUUACAACAAUGAGGUAUUUUAAAAUACCUCUCUGUCGAAAUUUGGACAGGAAAAGACUAAAAUGCCCCUAGGGACUAAACAGACUCAGACGCAAUUUUGAAAUGGUUUUUAAACAAAGACUCAACAGUGAUUUGUAAAACAAGUUGAAAAGACUCAGAGACAAACACAAGGACAAAAAUGGGUUCCACUGCAGGAAAUGACCAAAAUACCCUUUUUGUAUGAUUUUUGAAAUAACAUGCAAGAAAAGCAAUGCAAUGAUUCAGAGAGUUUUCAAAUGAUUUGUAAUGUAAGAAAGACACUUUGGAUGAUCUUAUGCAAGAAAAACACAGGCAAAAUUAUGAUUUGCAAAUACCUUGAGACAGAGACAGUAAAAUAUACAUAUGAAAAUAAAGUGAAGAUUCAAAGUAAAACAAUAGUAAAUUGACAAUUAUCAGUGGUAGAAAAGAAAUUUGAACGAGUAUUUUUAGGUCCAAAAUCAGGGUAUAACAAUUUGUAUAUUUGUACUUUGAUGACAUUAUUUUUAAUUUCAUGAGAUUUUUUUACUUUGUUUAAUGUACAAAAAUAUCGGUUUAAUUAAGUUGUGCAUUUGCGCCAAUAUUUUUUUUGUUAUUUGAACCGUUAUGAUGAAUUUUAAACGUUUGUGUAAUUUGAACCAAAUGUCGGUUUGAUUUAAUUAUGGACAAUUGUAAAAGAUAUUGUAUUUAUCUUGUUUAUGUCCGAGUUUCAAUGUUGUAUGAAUUAUUUUGCCUUUCGAAAUGCUCUGAUUUAAUUACAGGUAAAAACUGGCCGAAAAAAAGCUUGGAAAUGUUUUAGAAUGAUGCAGAGCUCACUGCCCAGAUUUUCUCGGCAGUUAACUACCGAGGUUUUCCUUGGCAGUUAAGUUUUGCUUCGGAAGUUAACUACCGAAGUUUUAGAAAUCCGUCUGCAGUUAACUGCCGAGGAAAACCUCGGGAGUUAACUGCCGAGGAUCUUCUGCUACAAAUCUGGCAGAAUCUCCUCUUAUCCAUUAUUCAUCUCAUCUUCCAAAUAAUUUCUUCAAAUUUCUCUCAAAAUCUCUCUAAAAAACACAACCAAAUCCAACCAAAUUUAUUCAACAAAAUCACAAGUAAGUAAUUAUAAUGUUAUUAACUUACAUUUUAGUUGUUAUAAAUGUUUUUAUUUUUUAGUUUUUGAAUACAUUUAUUAUUUUUUAGUUUUUGAGUAGAUUUACAUGUUAUAAUUAAUUUUUAGGGUAGAUGUUAGUUGAUUAAUGUUGUUAAAAUAUUUGCAUGAUGUUUAUGUUAUACGAUUAAUUUUUUUAUUUUAGUAAGAGUAUAUGAUUUAUAAUUUUAGGGUUAUUUUUAUAAAUUUUAGAGUCUAUGUUUAAUGGGCACAUCAAGUGUUUGAUGAAAUGUUUAAAUGAGUUUUUCAUUGAUUGUUUUUAAUUUCUUAUUGUGUAAAUUUAAAACAAUGGUCGGGUGGAUCGACAUUCAUGCGCAAUUCAACGGCGGAGAACCUCAGAGGUUGAAGGUUCGGUGCCUUGGUGUAACGUUAAGAGGUCUCAAGGAUGAACUGACUGGAUUCAACCAAUGAGUCAACCCUAGAGACACAAGGAUGGUGGAACACGUUUGGUAUAAACGUCCAACGCUCGACGAGGGGAAGUAUCAUUCACUUGGGUGGAAUUAACGAACGACGAAAACGUGACGAGCAUGUUUUGGGAGCACAUCAUGUUUCAGUAGAUCGAUAUGCGGGUGAAGUUGCUUAGAUCAACUGAAGAUAUCAUCAAAAGUUUGAUUCCGCCAGAAGAUUGUCAUUAGUUAGAGUAAGAUGCAUUCCAACUACAACAAUUGUCUUCCUUUGAAUGGGGUAAUUCAAACUUGUCAAACAACAGGACUCGAGCAUUUCGCAAGCACUUCAUGUUUCUCCUUUGAAAAUAUUAAACUCUUGUUAUGCUGGUUUAGAUGAAGGUAUUAAGUGUGAAGGAUUGAACCUCAAUUCGGUGGCACUUGAAUACCAUCAUCUAAAGCAAGCCUAACAAAAAUUUAUUCUUUUCAAAGGGAAAACAUGAAGUGUUUGACGAAAUGUUUGAGUCUUGUUGUUUGACAGGUUUGAAUCUAUCUCAUUCAAAGGUAACACAAUUGUUGGAGUUGGAAUGCACAUUUCAACUGCAACAAUUGUCUUACUCUGGAUGAGGCAAUUCAAACUUGUUAAUCGGCAGAACUCCAGCAUUCGAUGAGCAUCUUGAACAAUGGUAUUCAAGUGUCAAGGAAUGCAGCUCAUUCUUUUGACACUUGAAUACCAGCGUUCAAGAUGCUGAUCGAAUACUGGUGUCCUGCUGCUUAGCAAGUUUGAAUUUGCCUCAUUCAGUGGUACGAUGAUUGUUGCAGUUGGAAGGUAAAUUUCGGAAUGUAAUGUAAUGUGUAAUGCAAUGUAAUGUGAUACAUAUAUUUUGUUUUGAAUGAAACAAUAAUUAUCUUAUUUAUUCACUUUUCAAAUUUAUUUAUUCCAAAUGCGAUUUUAUUCUAAGUACCAUAAUGUCAAACAAAAUGUGCGCGACACAAAAAUAAAACAUAAAAAAAUCCAAAACAAAUAGGCAUUAAAAGCCAUUACAUUCAUUCUUCCUCGUCACACAAAUCAAUCGGGUUGCCCGCUACGUCCCUUCGGUACCUUGUUUUGGUUGAGGACCGAAAUAGCAUGUCCUCCCGCUCCUCCUCAACCUCGAGUGAUUGUACACCGGCACCUUCGAACCCUUCUUUUUUUCGGAAUCAUCGCAAACAAUUCCGUGCCACGUCAUAGGUGAUUUUUCUUUGUUCUUCUCAUCACCCUGAACGUUACCCUGAUUCUGAUUCUGAGACAUAUCUACAUUAAAAAAAAAUGGCGAUCAAAACCUAACAAUUCAAUAAAAGUUCUCUAACAAUUCUAAUCAUUCUAACCUAAACUAUCCUAACAUAUCAUAAAAUCAACAAAUCAAUAUAAUCGAACCUAUAUAAUCGAAAUUUAACAAAAAAUAACAAAUAAUUCGACCACAAAGCAACAAUGCAAUAGGAUUCAAAAAACUUACUUGUUUUUGUGAUUGAAAUUGGCUUGGAAUGACUUCAAAUGACUCAAAAUCGCACCUUGGAUAAUAUAAACGCAACAAUAGAGUUUUGGAAACUCCUAUGUUGUUCUGUACUAAAUGUCAAUGUAAUAUUUACAAAUGACAUGAAUUAAUUUUAAUAAUUUUUAAAUUAUUAACGAUAAUUCAUUUUGGUUAUGGUAAUAGCAUUAUAGGCUUAGAAUUUGCUUAUAGGUAAAGGCUAAUUAUACGUGAAAUCAAGCAUUGAAUUCUAACUUUUUUUCUUUUAAAAAAACAAUGAAUUAUGCUAAUCUUUUUGUCCUUUCUGUUUAUGAAUCCAUACAAUUGUGCUAAUUUUUUUUCUUCCGCGAAUUGAGGCAUAUAUUUCCACUAAUGUUAAGGCAAAGAAAACAUAUCAAUGAUUUCUAAAUAAGUUUUUGAUUUCUUUUUCAAUGCAUCCUUAGUAGUUAAGGCAAAUAAAUAUUCCUUAAAAAAAAAUUAUUGUGAGUAUCAAAUAUCGUGGCGUCAAAUUAUAAACUCGAACACUAAAAAAUUUAAAAAAUGUAGCAACAAAUUUAUAAAUUGUUGUUUUGUUUUUUUGAAGAGAAGACAUUAAUGGAAUAUAUUUCUCAUUAGUGAAAUCAUAGUAGCAUAUAUUAUGUAAUCCUAUGAAAGUUAGUUACAACAAACUAACUUGAUAACUUGUGAAGCAAGCUAUCCAUAUAACUAACUAAUAGUUUCCUUUAUUUCUUCAUUAUGCAAUACACAUCAUAUAUAUAUAUAUAUAUAUAUAUAUAUAUAUAUAUAUAUAUAUAUAUAUAUCAUAAUCCUCCUCUAUCUUCCUCGCUUCUCUUUUCUCAAACUUUAAAAGUUCAAAACUCAUACUCCUAAAACUCUUCUCAAAUCUAUGGUUUUCCAUCAAAAUCACCUACAAAUCAUCACAUUUCACAAGAUUUGAAGUAAUAAGCAAAAUAUAAGUUCUCGUUAUAGUUUUUUUUCUUCUUCAUAUUGGUAUCCGGAUUUUGUAAUUCGGAUGUAUGUUGUAUCUCAAUUUUACAAUUCGGGUUCUAUGCAGGUUAUGUUUUCUAAUUUCCAUAUUUCUUUGUUGUACUUGGGUUUUAUGUUGUAUUGAGUUAUAAUUGCUUUAGUUUUCCCUUUCUUUUAGUUAUAAGGAUGGAGGGAAACCACAAAUAAAAACAAUAAAUAAUUGCAGUGAAACUAAUAAAAAAAAUUUGUUUUUAUGAAGCUAAACUAACCUACCGAAAUUAGCACCGAUGAGAAUCGAACUUGAGAUUUUGAGAAAAGCACAUUCCAAGAUUAGAAGUCAACACCACUAUGCCAACUCAAGUAGACUACAUAAAAAAUUCUCUUAGUUGGAUCAUUACAAAUGAUCAUGACUCAUUGAUUGAAUAAUUACAUCUUGUAGCGUAGUAAAGUCGAUUUUAUAAUCAUCUAUUUACAUACAACAAUUAAACGACAAAAGAGUCAUUACAAAUCGACUUUAUAAUCUUCUCUUUACAUACAACAAUUAAACGACAACAAAGCAUCCGACUACGCAUCAAGGGAUCAUAGUGAUUUCAGGUUGAAGGGUGGUAUACACCAUUAUCACUUUGGAAAUAUCUUAUGGCACUUACAUAACAAAAAGCAGAAUCCAAUAUAAAUAAUUGAGUUCUUCAGAAACUAUAUAAUAAAUCUUUAUAAUUUUAAUUUUAUAACAUAAGAUCAAUUUUUAUGCAAUUUAGUUCUCAAAUGAAGCACAAAUGUUGAAUUUUUCUAGAAUUCAUAUGAAAUAAAGAAACACACUAAUAGAAUAUGAUUCACACAAUAACGAUGAAAUACAUUAAUAAGAAUGUAUCUUAAAGGCUUUGAUUAAUGCAAUUUUAAUAGUAUAUUCUUUAAUCAUCGAUACAAAAUUAAAACUUAUCUACAUGUUAAAAUGGAUCAAGAAGAAUUGCAUACCGUUUAAAUUGGUGAGAGCUUCCUAUGAUAACAUGUUAUGAAUUUUUUUUAAUAGAACAAGAGAAAACAAGUAAAGGAGAAGAUAAUUUCUAUUAUUCCUAUAAAUGUACAUUUAUGUUACAUUCAAGCUCUAUUUAUAGAGAAAUAUAAUGAUAUUAUAUUAGCCAAUAAUAUGACCAAUAACUAAUGGGUAUCCACUUAUAUUAUUCAUAGUAACAAAUGGCACGUAAACAUAAAUAAUUUUUUUGAAGGGGUGUGAACAUAAUUUUUUUUCCAUAAAAUAAACAAUAUAAAAUGAUAAAUAUUGAUAGAAUACAUUGAUUAAUAAAAUUUCGCUAAAAAUAAAAAGGAUAAUCCAUUCGAGCUAAUAACAUAAAAUGAAAAAUUACAAAAACCAACAUAUAUGAUUAUAUUCAAAUGUCCAGAAUACUCAUACUUUCUGAUUUGUAAUGUUAAUGACAUCAGAGUCAUUGAUUAAAUAUGCACUGAAACGAAGUUGAUAUGACAAUUUGAAUCGAUUGAAUAUUAUAAUAACAAACAAAACAACAUCGCAACACCUGGACGGAAAACGAAAAAUAUAAAAAUAUAUGUAAACAUAGAUUUUUUUUUUGAAGAAUGUAAACAUAGAUGAUAACAAACAAAAUAACUAACGAAUUCUCAAUUUUUAUUGACAGUCUGUGUAAAACGAUAUACACCGACGGUGCAUUGUGUUACAUCGUAAAAACGCAGAACAACAGUGUUUCAACACAGUCACUUGGUCUAAACUAAAGAAAUAGACACCUUAAUGCUGCGACUUGCACUGCAAAGAGUUUCAUUAUCAUCUUCUUCUUCUUCCUGUUCCCGGUUCAUUACCGGUUCGGCUUCAAAACCAAGCUUAUCAAUAUGGAGGCGAAAGAAAGAGCUGGGUAAAGAAGGUCUCAUCAUUACCAAAGAGCUCAAGAGACUCCAAACCGACCCGGUUCGCUUAGACCGGUUUGUCCGGUCCAAUGUUUCUCGCUUGCUCAAGUCCGACCUUGUUUCUGUCCUCUUUGAGUUCCAUGGACAGGACAAUGUCUUUCUCUCUAUGAAGGUUCGGUUUUUACGUUUCUUCUUAGUUUUAUAUUAUAUUUUUCUCAAUGUUCUUGUUAUUAAUUUAGAGUAUAUUUGGAUUGAUUAUUUGAGCUUAUGAAACGGUUCGGGAGAACUUAUAGCUUAUAUUAAAAUAUUUGAUGACUUUAUUUUAUCGUUUGUUAUAGAUGGUAAUAGCUUAUAAAUAAGUGCUUAAAUGAUAAGUGCAUAUGUUAUAAACACUUAAUUAAGCUGUUUAUGUAAAAAGGGUAUAAACAGUUGGGCGUUGUUUUGAUAAACAAGUUUUUUUGCAACUUAUAGCAUACAUGCUUAUUAAAUAAGUGGUUAUGAAUAAGCUAUUUCUGUAAUAUAAGAUAAAAUAAAGUCAAACUGAUUUCGUAUAAGCUAUAAGUUGUUUCAUUAUACUAUCUUGAAGAGCUUAUGAAAAUAAGCUGAAAACAGCUUGUGAACAUGUCAUAAGCUGUUUUCUUGAAUUUUCAAAACAGUUUCACUAUGCUUAUGACAAUAGAUAACUCAAAUAAGUCAAUUCAAACAGGCCCUUAGUUUAUGAAAUUAACAAAAUUUGAUUUUGUAAAUUCUCAAUCACAUAAUGUCUAUGACAUCCAAUUUCAGGAACUAAAUUGAAUGAUUCAAAAGGACUAAUUUGAUAAAAAGAUGUUUAUUUUCCAAAUCUAUUUUGAAAUAUUAAUAAUUUCAUAAACAAAAUUGGCACUGUACUACAAUUUGGAGAUUGAUUUUAUUGAUAGUAUAUUGAUUUUAUAGGCGUUGUUGUUUAUGCAUUGGUGUGAUUACAUGAGAAGGUUAAGUGAUGGAUUUGAUGACACGAAUAAGUUUACCUUAGAAGAUUUACGGAUUUUCAGCAUAGGUAUAAACUUAAAAUACUCUUUUAAGCUUGAAGAGAAGAAAGAAAAAGUAUAAUCUUUUUGGGCUAAUUAGUUGUGUUACUAUGUGAUGUUACUUGCACUCAAAAGUCAUGGCUUUAACCUGUCUUAUUCUCAAUAGGAUGCUACAGUCGUUAUGUUUCAUACAUUUUCAUUGAAAUGGGCUUGAACUCUGUCACAUGGUUAUGUUCUGUUAUGUAUAUCUGAUCUUUAAUGUUGUCAUUGAUAUUCGCCUUAGCUCUUGAAUGGUAGAUGUGAGGUGUGUAUGAAUGAUUCAUGUGUAGGAUUCUUUCAUAGGCUGCAUUUAAAUGUUGAUUUGAAGAGAAAAUUAACUAUCUAAUAAAUGAAGAGAAUAAGUAGAAUGUAGCCAGGGUGUUGUUAUGAAUGAGGAAAAUAGAGAAAAUAAUUGACAGACGGUAACACAACAAUGUUAUGCAGAGACUUUUAAACAUAAAUUUCCCUUGCAAAAUUAGUACAUAACACUGUCCCUCAAUACGAUACAUCAUUUUUAUGCAGAUUUUUACAUACAUCAGUAAUCACUAUCUAGGGUUUAGUGAAAAUACAACCUAAUUGGUCUGCUCUUAGUAGGUUUUAACAGAAUUGACUCUUUAUGAAGUUCGGAACAAAACAUCUACCUGCAUUUAUGCACAUAGCUUUUGUGUGGAAUGCAGGAUCUGUUAGCUAUGUGUGUGUAAACCAAGCUCCUUCAAUAAACGUGAGCCAUUGUUCUAUCCUCAGAUUCAACAUUAGAGCCAACAACACUACCCUUAGUACUUUUCCAAUAUAAAAGACAAAUAACCUUAGAGUAAUGUUUUUAUGGUUCCUACAAAAUCACUAUUGUACUCCCCUGGGCAAAUAUCCAUUUUAGGCGGAUAGUACCGACAUGCAAAUAAGAUCCCACAUAUGAUUCGAUUCAAGAAGUACCACUGUAGGAGUGUUUAGGGGAUCAACAGAGAUUGGAACAUAAGAAGCAGUAAGAAAAUAUGAUUCUAAAGAGUUAACUCUUGCGAUAUUACUAAACUCUACCACACAUAUAUGAGUUAGAUCAUAUGUAAAAUCUCUUUUGCAUGAACUUUGACAAGAUCGAUAAACUUUCAAUUAGUCAAUUCUAUAGUUUUACCCUAUAUUUAUACAUGGUUUUGGCUACUGAUAUAUGUUUUCAAAUAAUAUUUUAUAAACUUGCAUGAGAUCAAGAUUUAGGUAUAGGAUUUGGGUUUAUCAACUCCUCACUAUACCAAGACUAUCGAGUUUGACAUGAAAACAACCUUUAGCAUUGUUGAUGAUCUAAGCUCUUAAGUAUUGUCGUGGAUAGGCAAUUCUACCUAGUGGGAACAAACUUUCAAGUUUGCUGAAAUUAUUAAUAUAUACUGUCAAGCUAGUUUUUUUUUCAUAUAUACAUUUGGGCUAUAAGAAAAAACCUUGAGCAAUUUUUCUAAAUUGCUUUGUUCAUGUCCUUAUGCU